CUACGGUAGACUUGCGAUAUAUUUACACGCAUUUUAAUUAAUAUUCCAAAGUUGACUGCAUAUUAAGCCAAACUCUGCAAAAAAGUUUGGUCUGAUUUGUGGAAUUUUGACGUAGAAGAAUUAAGUAUAAGUUUCUGAACUGACAUAAAUAAAACACUCUUUCUAAAAACUUUAAAAUUUAAAGUUUCAUUGAUUUGUGUUUUUUGAACAAUUCUCAUUUAUGCAGACCCUAUUUAUGACUUGGAGGAAAUUUAUCAAUAUCUAAAUUACCCCCAACAAGUAAGACAGCGAUAUUUUUCAAACCCGCAGUCACUUUCUUAAACCUUUCAGUCAGUACAGCAGCCGCGACCACCCCUGACGAAGGCUCAAUAACUACCUUCAUACGUUCCAGAACAAGUCUCGUUCCAUGAAUGAUCUCUUCUUCUGUAACCGUGAAGACAUCAUCUACAUGUUGUUGUAUAAUUGGCCAGGUUAUCUCACCCACACUUGUACGUAAACCAUCGGCAAUUGUGUCAGGAGGACCUG
rnacentral:lncRNA from 1 species